AAAGGAAUUGACGGGGACCCGCACAAGUGGUGGAGCAUAUGGUUUAAUUCGACGAUACGCGAGGAACCUUACCCAGAUUUGACAUCUAGCGAAAGCUCUAGAAACAGAGCCGUGCCUUCGGGAACGCUAAGACAGGUGAUGCAUGGUUGCCGUCAGCUCGUGCCGUGAGGUGUACCCUUAAGUGGGACAACGAGCGCAACCCCUAGGCUUUGUUACAUAUUCAAAGCUGACUGCCAGGGAUAACCUGGAGGAAGGUGGGGAUGACGUCAAAUCAGCAUGUCCCUUAUAUCUGGGGCGACACAUGUGCUACAAUGGGGUGUAACAAAGGGACGCCAAACCGCAAGGUGGAGCCAAUCCCAUCAAACCACCCCCCAGUUCGGAUUGUGGGCUGCAACUCGCCCACAUGAAGUUGGAAUCACUAGUAACCGUAUAUCAGCCAUGAUACGGUGAAUACGUUCUCGGGUCUUGUACACACCGCCCGU
rnacentral:rRNA from 1 species